rnacentral:rRNA from 1 species
CAGAGGGUGCGAGCGUUGUUCGGAAUUACUGGGCGUAAAGCGCGCGCAGGCGGCCCUUUAAGUCUACCCGUGAAAUGCCGGAGCUCAACUCCGUGCACGCCGGGGGAUACUGGAGGGCUGGAGACAGGUAGAGGCAGGCGGAAUUCCGGGUGUAGCGGUGGAAUGCGUAGAGAUCCGGAAGAACACCAGAGGCGAAGGCGGCCUGCUGGGCCUUGUCUGACGCUGAGGCGCGAAAGCGUGGGGAGCGAACAGGAUUAGAUACCCUGGUAGUCCACGCCGUAAACGAUGGGCACUGGGCGCGGGUGGGAUCGACCCCUUCCGUGCCGCAGCUAACGCGUUAAGUGCCCCGCCUGGGGAGUACGGCCGCAAGGCUG